rnacentral:rRNA from 1 species
AGCGAACGCUGGCGGCAGGCUUAACACAUGCAAGUCGAGCGGGCACUUUCGGGUGUCCGCGGCGGACGGGUGAGUAACGCGUGGGAACGUGCCCUCUGGUUCGGAAUAACUCAGGGAAACUUGAGCUAAUACCGGAUACGCCCUUUUGGGGAAAGGCUUGCUGCCGGAGGAUCGGCCCGCGUCUGAUUAGCUAGUUGGUGAGGUAACGGCUCACCAAGGCGACGAUCAGUAGCUGGUCUGAGAGGAUGAUCAGCCACACUGGGACUGAGACACGGCCGAGACUCCUACGGGAGGCAGCAGUGGGGAAUAUUGGACAACGGGCGCAAGGCUGAUCCAGCCAUGCCGGGUGAGUGAUGAAGGCCGGAGGGUUGUAAAGCUCGUUUAUCCGGGACGAUAAUGACGGUACCGGAGGAAUAAGCCCCGGCUAACUUCGUG